rnacentral:lncRNA from 1 species
GCCCUGCCCUCCUCCCCUUCCUGGCCAAUAGGAAUGCAGAACUGGGUGCGUUGCUGUGGAAACAGUGCAGCCUCCUGCCCUGGCAGCCAGCUCUGCCCCCUCCCCCUCCCCCUCGUUUGGACGCCAUGUUGUGGGCGGCAUCGCGGGGCAUCGCAGGGCAUUGUGGGGCAUCGGGGCAGGGUGUCUCCAUGUGCCCAGGCAAUGCGGGGCCCGGGGCGCUGCCGCUGCCCCGCCAGGCCUGGGCUCUGCUGCAGGGGCCUGCGGGGCUGCUGGCUGCCCUGCACCCAGGGGCCAUGGGAGGCACGGGGGAGCAGCCCCAGGGCCUGUGCUGGUGCCGGCCCUGGCACCGGCGUGGGGGCCCUGGGCAUCGCCGGGGCGCCAGAGCCUGCAGGCAACAUCCUGCUGCCCCCAGGGCAGGGCAGGGCAGGGCAGGGCAGGGCAGGGCAGGGCCCUGUCGCCCCAGGGGCCCUGGUCCCCUGCUCGCGGCAGUCCCGGGGCUCGGCAGCCCUCGCGCUGUGCCGGCAGGGCUGGGCCGCGGCCAGGCAGGGGCUGUUCUCUGCGGGGCUGGGCUGGGCCCUGGCGCAUCGCUGCAGACGGCUGAGGAGCCCCAGGGGCACGGGGCAGCCAGGGGCAGAGCAGCUCUGGGCCUGCCGGUGCUGGGCAGCGGAGGUGUGUGUCUGGGAGGGGGCUGGGGCAGAUGGCCGUGCUGGACUGCCCCCAGCACUGCCCCCCCACGGCUCAGAGACUAAUGCUUGGGGUCAGCAGGGACUUGUGGGGUGGGGAUGGCACCCCCACCUGUUUCCAAGCUGCUCUCCCAAACAGGCUGUCUUUUGGGUGCAGAGGUCUGACUCCCAUGUGCAGGAGGACGGGGUCUGUGGCCAUCUGAGGACAAGAUCUCUGAGCCCAAACCAUGCUUUGCCAAGUUGGAAGUAUAAAGGGAUCCAGGGGGAAGGAACAGAGGUUCUCCCAAAGGAGCAGACACCUUGGGGUCAUUACAAGGUGAAGGAUCCAUUUCUUGUAUGGGCAUUUCCAGCAGGCUCUUGAGAGCCCCACAGGAGCUGCAGGACACCCCAGGUGCAGGAUGCAGGAUCCCUUUCAUGCCAGAGCCAGAUGCCAAAGGGGGACCCACUCCCAAGGAAACCUGUCUAUGGAUUGCCCACCACCCUCCACAAGGGGAUGGAGGCAGCCCCACAGGAUCCUUGGUGCUCAGGGCAGCUCCAGCGCCAGGACCCAGGAGUCCUGGCUGCCACACUGUCCCCUGAGCCAGACAGGACCCUCAGGCAGGGCUCUUGUGGCAGCCCCCAGCCCUGUCCAGUCAUCCUCACAGCUCAGGAUCCACAGCCAUUUUUGCAGUUAACUGUCUCUGUGCNNNNNNNNNNNNNNN